GACGAACGCUGGCGGCGUGCUUAACACAUGCAAGUCGAACGGAAAGGCCCUGCUUUUGUGGGGUGCUCGAGUGGCGAACGGGUGAGUAACACGUGAGUAACCUGCCCUUGACUUUGGGAUAACUUCAGGAAACUGGGGCUAAUACCGGAUAGGAGCUCCUGCUGCAUGGUGGGGGUUGGAAAGUUUCGGCGGUUGGGGAUGGACUCGCGGCUUAUCUGCUUGUUGGUGGGGUAGUGGCUUACCAAGGCUUUGACGGGUAGCCGGCCGGAGAGGGUGACCGGGAACAUGGGGAAUGGGACAAGGCCCGACCUCUGCGGGGGGGAAAGGGGGGGAAAAUUGGAAAAGGGGGGGGGGGCCGGAGCGAGCAACCCCGGGUGGGGGAAGGCGGCCUGGGGUGGGAAAACCGCUGGCGCCGGGAAAAAAGGGGGGGGGAGGGAAAGGGGAAAAGAAGCACCGGCAAACUCGGUG
rnacentral:rRNA from 1 species